GACGAACGCUGGCGGCGUGCUUAACACAUGCAAGUCGAACGGAAAGGCCCUGCUUUUGUGGGGUGCUCGAGUGGCGAACGGGUGAGUAACACGUGAGUAACCUGCCCUUGACUUUGGGAUAACUUCAGGAAACUGGGGCUAAUACCGGAUAGGAGCUCCUGCUGCAUGGUGGGGGUUGGAAAGUUUCGGCGGUUGGGGAUGGACUCGCGGCUUAUCAGCUUGUUGGUGGGGUAGUGGCUUACCAAGGCUUUGACGGGUAGCCGGCCUGAGAGGGUGACCGGCCACAUUGGGACUGAGAUACGGCCCAGACUCCUACGGGAGGCAGCAGUGGGGAAUAUUGCACAAUGGGCGGAGGCCUGAUGCAGCAACGCCGCGUGCGGGAUGACGGCCUCCGGGUUGUAAACCGCUUUCGCCUGUGACGAAGCGUGAGUGACGGUAAUGGGUAAAGAAGCACCGGCUAACUACGUGCCAGCAGCCGCGGUGAUACGUAGGGUGCGAGCGUUGUCCGGAUUUAUUGGGCGUAAAGGGCUCGUAGGUGGUUGAUCGCGUCGGAAGUGUAAUCUUGGGGCUUAACCCUGAGCGUGCUUUCGAUACGGGUUGACUUGAGGAAGGUAGGGGAGAAUGGAAUUCCUGGUGGAGCGGUGGAAUGCGCAGAUAUCAGGAGGAACACCAGUGGCGAAGGCGGUUCUCUGGGCCUUUCCUGACGCUGAGGAGCGAAAGCGUGGGGAGCGAACAGGCUUAGAUACCCUGGUAGUCCACGCUGUAAACGGUGGGUACUAGGUGUGGGGUCCAUUCCACGGGUUCCGUGCCGUAGCUAACGCUUUAAGUACCCCGCCUGGGGAGUACGGCCGCAAGGCUAAAACUCAAAGGAAUUGACGGGGCCCCGCACAAGCGGCGGAGCAUGCGGAUUAAUUCGAUGCAACGCGUAGAACCUUACCUGGGUUUGACAUGGAUCGGGAGUGCUCAGAGAUGGGUGUGCCUCUUUUGGGGUCGGUUCACAGGUGGUGCAUGGCUGUCGUCAGUUCGUGUCGUGAGAUGUUGGGUUAAGUCCCGCAACGAGCGCAACCCUUGUUCACUGUUGCCAGCACGUUAUGGUGGGGACUCAGUGGAGACCGCCGGGGUCAACUCGGAGGAAGGUGGGGAUGACGUCAAGUCAUCAUGCCCCUUAUGUCCAGGGCUUCACGCAUGCUACAAUGGCUGGUACAGAGAGUGGCGAGCCUGUGAGGGUGAGCGAAUCUCGGAAAGCCGGUCUCAGUUCGGAUUGGGGUCUGCAACUCGACCUCAUGAAGUCGGAGUCGCUAGUAAUCGCAGAUCAGCAACGCUGCGGUGAAUACGUUCCCGGG
rnacentral:rRNA from 1 species